rnacentral:lncRNA from 10 species
UGAGGGGCGGGGCGUCCCGCCGAGAGUCUGGAUGAGGUCCGGGGAAUGAGGUGAUUCGCCCAAAAGCACACUACAAAUUGGAGUCACCAGCAGGUCUGCUAUUUUGCCACUAAACCAAUCUGCCGGUCACACCUUGGCUGUAAAGUGUCCUAACAGCCACCUACUUAUGAUUACUGCUUUCUUACCAAUAACCUCCCCAGCCUGUUGUGUGGCUCCUACAUCUUGAACAAAAGCGACCAAGGUACCCAAUUACUAAACUGCCCACACUUCAUGAAAGCAACUUUAUAGCCAUGAUACUCACUUCCCCUUGUCCCCUCUUCAGAAUUACUCAGGGCCAGCCCAAACCUUACAAAGUCCCCUUCCUAUUCCCUCGUAAUGAGAAGCAGCCCUUCUUCCUCUGGGGUGCUCUCC